AUUAAAAAAUAAUUAUUAAAAGGAUCUUAUUUGUUACUAAACAACUACGCUGAUUUAUAAAACAAUAAUAAUGUAAAAUUAUAAUCCAAAACCUUAGAAGUGCCUUUACAUAAAAUGUCAGAUGUACACUAAUUAAACCAAUGCUUGGAAUCAGUGCUGUAAAAACUGGGUGUGCAGAGUGUGCAUUGCAUGCAGGCCCUGGGCCUCGUUCCACAUAAUGGAACCUCAAUAGAUCAAAUGCUCAAAAAUGUAAAACGAUAAAGGGCCUCAAGAUUUUGAUUUGCUCAUAGGCCUCUCAGUUACGGCACUGGCUGGAAUGUAAUCAACAAUUCAUUUUAUUUCGAUUUAAAGUCCUUAAAAUUAAACUGUAAAACGACUACACUAACCAUGGCUGAUUAUGCUUAAGCACUGGAAGUUGAAUGUUUAUUCGGCUCAACCUGAUGU